UACGUAGGGGGGCUAGCGUUGUCCGGAAUCAUUGGGCGUAAAGAGCGUGUAGGCGGCCCGGUAAGUCCGCUGUGAAAGUCGGGGGCUCAACCCUCGAAUGCCGGUGGAUACUGUCGGGCUAGAGUGCGGAAGAGGCGAGUGGAAUUCCUGGUGUAGCGGUGAAAUGCGCAGAUAUCAGGAGGAACACCGAUUGCGAAGGCAGCUCGCUGGGACGUCACUGACGCUGGAGACGCGAAAGCGUGGGGAGCAAACAGG
rnacentral:rRNA from 1 species